UGGGCUGCCUGACCCCCGAGCUGCUGUCCAAGAACGGCGUGCAGUUCGGUGAGGCUGUGUGGUUCAAGGCCGGCGCUCAGAUCUUCCAGGAAGGCGGCCUGGACUACCUGGGCAACCCGUCGCUGGUGCACGCUCAGAACAUCGUCGCGACGCUGGCGUGCCAGGUGGGCGGGAGGGACGUGGCUGCGUGCUUAGGAAUGCGUCCGGUCGCCUUACUUGUUAGCUGGCUAGGUGAAACAAGGUGGGGCGCGGCAACUGUGCUGCCAGCCCUUGACUGUCGUAAGCUCCCCUGCCUUUUGCGCGCUCUUACAUUCAGCUUGGCUUUGGAUUCCUAGUUGCAGCCUUGUGACAUGUGAGCAUUGUGCGCUACCGCACGCACAUCCAGGAAUCUGGGUGUCUCGUUUCCUAUCCAGCUUGGUUUUAUUGCAGCGUAACCCCAAGCGAGCAGAGACGACGCGUAAGGUGGCGUGUUGCUUAUCCGUAUUGACUGCUGUCUUCUCCCCCGCUCUCGCUGCUCACGUGCCGCGCAGGUGAUCCUGAUGGGCCUGGUGGAGGGCUACCGUGUGAACGGCGGCCCGGCCGGCGAGGGCCUGGACCCGCUGUACCCCGGCGAGUCGUUCGACCCCCUGGGCCUGGCUGACGACCCGGACACCUUCGCCGAGCUCAAGGUCAAGGAGAUCAAGAACGGCCGCCUGGCCAUGUUCUCCAUGUUCGGCUUCUUCGUGCAGGCCAUUGUGACCGGCAAGGGGCCCAUUGAGAACCUGAACGACCAUCUGGCCAACCCGGCCGUCAACAACGCCUUCGCCUUCGCCACCAAGUUCACGCCCAGCGCGUAAUGUAUCGCUGCUACGUUUGCUAGUCG
rnacentral:lncRNA from 1 species